UACGUAGGGUGCAAGCGUUGUCCGGAAUUAUUGGGCGUAAAGAGCUCGUAGGCGGUUUGUUGCGUCGGCUGUGAAAUCCCGAGGCUCAACCUCGGGUCUGCAGUCGAUACGAGCAAACUAGAGUGUUGCAGGGGAGACUGGAAUUCCUGGUGUAGCGGUGAAAUGCGCAGAGUAUCGGGAAGAACACCCGGUGGCGAAGGCGGCUCUCUGGGACGGUACUGACGCUGAGACGGCGAAAAGC
rnacentral:rRNA from 1 species